AGUGAACGCUGGCGGUAUGCCUAACACAUGCAAGUCGAACGGCAGCACAGUAAGAGCUUGCUCUUACGGGUGGCGAGUGGCGGACGGGUGAGGAAUACAUCGGAAUCUACUUUUUCGUGGGGGAUAACGUAGGGAAACUUACGCUAAUACCGCAUACGACCUACGGGUGAAAGCAUGGGAUCUUCGGACCUUGCGCGAUUGAAUGAGCCGAUGUCGGAUUAGCUAGUUGGCGGGGUAAAGGCCCACCAAGGCGACGAUCCGUAGCUGGUCUGAGAGGAUGAUCAGCCACACUGGAACUGAGACACGGUCCAGACUCCUACGGGAGGCAGCAGUGGGGAAUAUUGGACAAUGGGCGCAAGCCUGAUCCAGCCAUACCGCGUGGGUGAAGAAGGCCUUCGGGUUGUAAAGCCCUUUUGUUGGGAAAGAAAAGCAGCAGGUUAAUACCACGCUGUUCUGACGGUACCCAAAGAAUAAGCACCAGCUAACUUCGUG
rnacentral:rRNA from 1 species